GAGUUUUGAGCUAGGGUUGUUAUGUAAUGAAGGGUUUCACCCAAAUGAGCUUGUAGAACCUUGCAUGAGUGCCCAAGGUUCGACCUUUUCGUGGUUAUUGGCUUUGAGGGAGUUAGAUGUAUGGUUUGGUGAAGCAGAUCUGACCUCAGAAGGUCAGAUGAGGGUUGUCAUGGGAGCAACUCGCCGAGUCCAUAGGAAGACUCGAUGAGUCGAGUCGGGGAUGCCCCGCGUUUCGUUGCCGAGUAACUCGACGAGUGGAGAGGGAACUCGUCGUGUCUAAGAGGUUUAAAAAGGAUUUAGAGAACCCGCAUGGACUCGCCGAGUCACUCUUGUGUACUCGCCGAGUCUGGUCAGUGUUGACCGUUGACUUGAGUUGUCUUAUGUUGACUUUGGGAGUUUUGGUCAACAGAGGUAAUAGAGGUCAGGGAGGGGUAAAAUGGUCUUUUACCCAUUACCUGACUAGAGAGGGAAAUAGUAAUCGCCGGUUAAUUAGAGUUGGGACUUCGAGUACUAAUUAGAGAUAUUUGUCUUAUGUGUUAGGCGGUGGCAAGUCUGAGGUUCGCAUGUGCAGAUAGUUGCUUUCUGAUUUCCAGGUGAGUCUUCUUACUAUACUUUACCUAGAGUGGUAACAGAGUUAUGUGACAGAGUUAUUGUAUGUGGCAUGUGGCACUGCAUUAUUUCUAUGUGAUUUAUGCUGUGUGUAUAUCAGAGAUAGGACCAGAUGGUCCACAGAGCUAGGACCAAAGGGUCCGCAGAGUUAGGUCCCAAGGGCCCAUAGAGUUAUAGCCUCGAGUGGCUAAUAUGUGCUAUAUGUGGUGUUUUCGUAUUAUGUGCCAGUAUAUUUGUAUGCUAUUUAUAUGUUGAGAUUUAUUGUGAUAUGUGAUAUGCAUGAUUCAGAGUUAGGACCCUUGGGUCCAUAUAGUUAGGGCCAGAGGGCCCACAGAGAGCUGGGACUGGAGGGUCCCACUGAGACACACUGAGCGGAUGGUCAACAGAGUUAUAGCCUCAAGUGGCUAAUAUGUGUUAGAGUGGUAUUUUGGAGAACUCACUAAGCUUCGUGCUUACAGUGUUUUGUGUUAUGUGUUUCAGGUUUCUUUCAGGAUCACGGGACGCCACCGGCUCGAUUGUACACACCAGAGAAAGAGUCAUGUUUUGAGGAUCCUGGUUUAUUAUGCAAGUGAAAAUGGAGAUAUGUUUUGUAAUUCGAUUAUUUUUAAAUGAAAAAUUGUUUUGAAAUUUUCGGUGUUACAGGUUGGUAUCAGAGCCUUGGUUUGAGGGAUUCAGAUGCGCCUUUGGGUAAAUCUGGACUCAAACUGAGGAAGUAAGAAAAGUUUUCAAAGAAAUAAUUUUCUAAAGCGAAUAAGAGUUCAAAGAGAAAGCGAGAAGGAGCAGUGUGUACAAUCAGCCAGAGCCCGAACGGUGAUUUCCCAAAAUACCCUUACUUUUGUGUUAUGAGAUAUUUAUGAUGCACUUUAUGAGAUAUUAAUGCAUGCUAGAGACAGGCUAGGUAUUCCAUAUCUUAGGACUAGAGUGGCCUGAUUUGUGAUGCCUUAGCCUAGGAAUUGCUGUUAUAUGCGAUGUGCUUUUGAGUAUGUGAUGAGUGAGAAUAUUUAGUUGGAAUCCUUUAGGGGAUUUGAGUAGAGGAGUAAUCUAGGGGAGAUACCUAGAUAAGUACCGUGGUACUUAGAGAAAGAAUAGUUAGAACCCGCGAGGGGAAGAGUUGCAGAGUUCGGUGGUACUUUCGAGGAUGAGCAGAGCAAGCGGAGUUAUCACCCAGAGUGAGUCAUAUAUAUUCUUCGAUGCUCGAAUGCUGCUUGCUUCGUGCUUUGUGGAACUCUCGAUGAUGGGAGUCAGCUACCAAGCGAAUAUGACGAUAUUCAGGAGGUAGAUGGCUGGCAUCAUUAGGAGCUCUUCAGCAGCUGAUGGCAGAGAAGUGUGGGAAUCUAGGAAGAGCCUAGGGAGUAACCUUAGCCAGAUGAGUGCGCUGGCAGAGUAGAGAAUUUCGCUGGGGAGCGAGCGCGCGACGGAAUUGGUGAACGAGAAGGUCGAGCAGCUACUUAGGAGCUCCGGGAUAGUCCGUGUGGAAAGUAUGGGUAGAUGUGGCAGGUAGUAUGGGCCCGUACUACUGAAAGCAGAGGACCCAUACUUGAUACAGGGAGUAUUCUGAAGGUUCUAAGGAGCGUAUUGAGGAGUGAUGUUAUGGUUCGAGUACCAUACAUCGGAGCAGAUUGAGGAGUGAUGUUAUGGUUCGAGUACCAUACAUCGGAGCAGAUUGAGGAGUGAUGUUAUGGUUCGAGUACCAUACAUCGGAGCGGAUUGAGGAGUGAUGUUAUGGUUCGAGUACCAUACAUCGGAGCAGAUUGAGGAGUGAUGUUAUGGUUCGAGUACCAUACAUCGGAGCGGAUUGAGGAGUGAUGUUAUGGUUCGAGUACCAUACAUCGGAGCGGAUUGAGGAGUGAUGUUAUGGUUCGAGUACCAUACAUCGGAGCGGAUUGAGGAGUGAUGUUAUGGUUCGAGUACCAUACAUCGGAGCAGAUUGAGGAGUGAUGUUAUGGUUCGAGUACCAUACAUCGGAGCGGAUUGAGGAAUGAUGUUAUGGUUCGAGUACCAUACAUCGGAGCAGAUGGAGGAGUGAUGCUAUGGUUCGGGUACCAUACACCGGAGCAUAUUGAGAAGAGAUGUCAUGGGAUGAGUACCAUGGUUCGUAGUGAAUGAUGCUUGUGGUUCUCCGGUUAUCCGGUCACGAUUGAUGAGGUAGAGAUUGGACGCUAUGGGUUUUAGGCCUGUGGGCCAUGAUUGAGUUCGAAGAGGCGUCCCUUGAGAGGGAGGUCGAGAGCCUAUCAGAGUAUUUUGGUAAGGAGUUAGAGGGAGGGGAGAAUUUCGGUCUGAGUUGAGCAAUCAGUCGAUAGAGGAGAUGUCACCUUCUAUGACCUGGGUGGUGCUAUUUAUGUUCGUGUGCGGAACAUGAGAGGCAUGAUGUUUAAGUUUUGGGUUUGGGGGUAAACCCUGCAGGUUGUCAUUGAUGAUGAUUUUCCAUCAGAGUAUCAGGUAGCAUGUGUGCCGCGAGGCAGUGAUUUACCAUGAGCAGAUAGUCAGUUGGGACUGAGAUAGUCGAGGACCACGUUACACCUAUUUGAGUAUAGUAGGGCGUAUUGUAGAGGUAUCAGUGGGGAGUCCAGUCGAGUUAAUCAGUGCAGUGGUUUUUCUAUCUAUGUUGGGUAUUGAAUAUGGGAGUGGGUCCCUGUUCUUGGGAUGAUCCAUGUGUUGGAACGUCGGUUGAUGAGUCGAGGUGGGGGAGUAUGAUGAUUUCGUGGUCCAGUCUAUGAGUCAGUGAUGUUAUUGGACAGUUGAGUUGUUUGGUAUUGGAUUGGUACGAGACUUGGAACGACUAGAGGCAGUCGUGACGAGAAGUUCUUGAGGAUUUCAUCUGAGGUUCAGAGUUAUGAGAUCGAUUGAUUUCCUUAAAGGGGAUUAUCGGGCGUUGCGUAGCACUUUCCAGGGGCAGGUGCGUUAUUGCUGGUGAAAAUAGUUCGUGAGGUUGUUGAUGUGUCAGAUAGUGAUGGUUCGAACCCUAAGUGGGGGAGAACCGGGUGGUUUAUUGAGAGACCCGGAGAUUUGUGCAAGAGCGGUUAGGGGUUGGAUGCAGAAACCUGCGGCUUGAAUUCAUGAGAUCAGGGUCAUUGGUGAUCAAGGAAAGGUGCAGGGCGAGAUAAUGCAUGUGGUAUAUGUCUGAGAGAAGGAUGGGUGUCUCCACGGCGGGUGGUCAAUGGUCAGGAAUCUGGUGGUGGUCAGAGUCGUUUCAAGUGGAAGACUCGUAAUGAUGGUAUGGGCAGUUGAGAACUUCUGGGUUGAAAUAUGGGUAGAAGAUUGUCGAGUAGCCAACUCCCGGGCUGGGAUGUGUAUUCUUGCUUGGAUUUUGAGCAGUAGUGGAAAGGGUUUCGGAGGAUCAUCAGUGUGUUCUGAAGGGUUAGCGCCUUCCUUGUAUUCCAAUUGAGUGUUUGGAUGCACUGAAGUUGCGCAUUGAGUGAAAUAGGAAAUUAUUAUGGGAUUCAGAGGAAAUGUAUUGUUGUAUGUGUAUGGUGCUGGGAGUAAGGGAAUCAGUGGUAGAGGCAGGACAUUGUGAUGCUCUGUUAGGGUGUUCCGUGGUUUCCGCGUAUAGCGUCCCGAUUUCAGAGUUAUUUAGAGUCUUGGGUUUAAGAUGACUAGUGAUGUAUCAUGUAUCCACGGUUCCAGUGGGAGCCUUUCGUGUAUUGUCGUCAAGAAGGAUUAUUUAAGGAAGUGGAUCGCCACAGAGGUAGGUUAUGUGCUAUGCCGUUUGCCGCCAGAGUCUGUAAUGCAUAUCGGGGCAAGUGUGUGUGUAACUAUCUAUGAUAGUCUUCGGUGCAUGAGUUAGUGAACAUAGUGUGGCGUUGUAAUGAGAAUGAGAGUAUAGGGUGAAGCUACGGGGAGCCGUAGUAUUCACCAGUCAGAGGGUGUUGUGAUGCUACGGGGAGCCGUAGUACUCACAAGUCAGAGAGAGAGAGAGUCGUGAUGCUACGGGGAGCCGUAGUAUUCGCCAGUCAGAGGGUGUUGUGAUGCUACGGGGAGCCGUAGUACUCACAAGUCAGAGGGAGGGAGUCGUGGUACUACGGGGAGCCGUAGUACUCACUAGUUAGUUGGCGUUGUGAUACUACGGGGAGCCGUAGUACUCACUAGUCAGAGGCUGUCGUAAUGUUGUGGGAAGCCAUAGUACCCACUAGACGGCAAGAGAGUGUGAUGAUGGAGUGUUCUCCGAUAAGUGCAUGAUGCAGAAGAGUUUUAGGCUUGAGUAGCCCUAGUGUUGAGUUUUUGGAGCCUAGUGGUUAAACCGGGGCGAGACUGGGGUCUCCGUCUCUGUCGGGAGGGUCAGCGAGGCGCGCGGGAGAAUAUGCGCAGCAGACGCCAGAGGUUAGAGUUGAGUCGAUCUUCGAUUGGAUUGUAUUUUUUUAUGAGGAAAAGGGAAUUUCGUGACUUGCGUGUCACUGGGCCGUGAUAGUGGUCACGGGGAGGAAGUUAGUGAGAUGUUUUGGAUCAUGUUAUGUGUGACCUUUGGGGGUUCAGCUGUGGGGCCAAAAGCUGACCUGGUGCUCGGUAUCGAAGAUGAAUAUGAGAAAUGAGCUAGAGUUUACCAUGGUGAUGUCUGUGGACACUUCAGAGCGAGCGAACGAUUCAGACGCUCGAGGAUAUGUUUCGGGCAUGUGUAUUAGAUUUCGGGGGGAAAUUGUGGCCCGUAUUUGCCCUUGGCAGAGUUUUCCUACAACAACAGCCAUCAUUAGUGCAUCAGUAUGCCACCCUUUGAGCUGUUGUAGGGAAGGGGGUAUCGGACCCCAUUUGCUGGGGAGAGGUAGAGCAACGUGUGAUGGGAAGUACAGAGAUUGUGCUUCAGACGUCAGAGCAGAUACAGCAGGUCAGGCAGAGGUUGUUGACCGCUCAGAGUCGCCAGAAGAGUUAUGCGGACAGGCGCCGGUCCGAGCUCGAAUUUUUGGUCGGUGACUUUGUACUCCUGAAGGUCUCUCCUUGGAAAGGAGUGAUCCGAUUCAGGAAGAGGGGCAAGUUGGGGCCCCGAUAUAUCGGUCCUUUUCGGGUGAUCGCGAGGGUAGGCAGGGUAGCCUACCGGUUGGAGCUACCUGCAGAGCUAGGUCAGAUCCAUGACACUUUCCAUGUGUCGCAGCUGCGAAAGUGUAUAGCCGAGGAGUCGGCAGUAGUGCCAUUAAAGGAUAUUCAGGUGGAUGUGGGCCUGAACUACGUUGAGAGACCGGUGGCUAUUCGGGAUCGAAAGAUCAAGGUUCUGAGGAACAAAGAGGUGCCUCUGGUGCAGGUCCAGUGGCAACACCGGAAAGGGUCAGAGCUUACUUGGGAGCUGGAGCGCGAGAUGCGUGAGCAGCAUCCGGAGUUGUUUCCAGAGUGAAACUUCGAGGGCGAAUCCUGAUUCUUGUGGGGGAGAAUUGUAACAUCCGGAUAUCCAGGUAAGGGAAUUUGAGUAUUUUAUAUUGGGGAAUGAGGAGACUCGGCAAGUUGACGCCUCAACUUGUCGAGUAGGAUCACAUUUUGGGGACCAGUUUAAUGAAGGGACUCGACGAGUCGGGUAUUUGGACUCGACGAGUCGGGUAUUUGGACUCGACGAGUCGGGUAUUUGGACUCGCCGAGUCGGCGCUGUCAAGGAAAACCCUAAUUGUCCGAGUUUGGGACCUAUUUAAAGGCCCUUAUGGCCUUCAGUGGCGGCCACCUACACCUUUGAGAGACUCCUAUCGAACCAGAGAGCUGAGAGAGUGAAGAAGAGCCAUUUUGGAGCAUUCUUGAGGUGGUUGUGCAAUGGAGUAGUCAUUUCCAGCAAAGGGAGGUCAAGGGGGUGUCGAUUCAGAGCUUCUGAGCUUGCAUCUUCACCAUUGAGGUAUCAAAUCGUUCUCCCUUUUCUGUUUUGGGUAAGAUUGGUGAUUUUAGGGUUUUCUAGCUUCUUUUAUGGCUUGAUUUGUGGAGUAUAGUGUCCCAUUGAGUGUGAAGCCAUAGAUCUGGACCCAAAGAGGUCCAGAGAGUCCCUUCCAUCCUGCUUUAUGCAUUCUAUUUGGAGUUUUGAGCUAGGGUUGUUAUGUAAUGGAGGGUUUCACCAAAAUGAGCUUGUAGAACCUUCCAUGAGUGCCCAAGGUUCGACAUUUUCGUGGUUAUUGGCGUUGAGGGAGUUAGAUCUAUGGUUUGGUGAAGCAGAUCUGACCUCAGAAGGUCAGAUGAGAGUUGUCAUGGGAGCAACUCGCCGAGUCCAUAGGCAGACUCGACGAGUCGAGUCGGGGUUGCCCCGCGUUUCGUUGCCGAGUAACUCGACGAGUGGAGAGGGAACUCGUCGUGUCUAAGAGGUUUAAAAAGGAUUUAGAGAACCCGCAUGGACUCGCCGAGUCACUCUUGUGUACUCGCCGAGUCUGGUCAGUGUUGACCGUUGACUUGAGUUGUCUUAUGUUGACUUUGGGAGUUUUGGUCAACAGAGGU
rnacentral:lncRNA from 1 species